rnacentral:rRNA from 1 species
UACGAAGGGGGCUAGCGUUGCUCGGAAUGACUGGGCGUAAAGGGCGCGUAGGCGGUUUGUACAGUCAGGUGUGAAAUUCCCGGGCUCAACCUGGGGGCUGCACUUGAUACGUAUGGACUGGAGUGGGGAAGAGGGUCGUGGAAUUCCCAGUGUAGAGGUGAAAUUCGUAGAUAUUGGGAAGAACACCGGUGGCGAAGGCGGCUCACUGGACCGGUACUGACGCUGAUGCGCGAAAGCGUGGGGAGCAAACGGG